UACAGAGGUCUCAAGCGUUGUUCGGAUUCAUUGGGCGUAAAGGGUGCGUAGGCGGCGCGGUAAGUCGGAUGUGAAAUCUCGGGGCUUAACUCCGAAACUGCAUUCGAUACUGCCGUGCUUGAGGACUGGAGAGGAGACUGGAAUUUACGGUGUAGCGGUGAAAUGCGUAGAUAUCGUAAGGAAGACCAGUGGCGAAGGCGAGUCUCUGGACAGUUCCUGACGCUGAGGCACGAAGGCCAGGGGAGCAAACGGG
rnacentral:rRNA from 1 species